AAUAAAAUUUUAAAAAUAAUAAAAUAGUAAAAUAAAAUAUUAUCGUAAAAAUAAAUAUUAUAUUAAAAUUAUAAAUAAUAAAAUUUAAAAAUCCAGUUUUUUACACACAACUUCAGUCCAACUCACAUUUCACCACUCCAACAACAUAUCCAAACAUCAAACCACAAAAAAAGAAAAAACAAAGAACAAAUAAAGUUAAAAAGCUAAACAGAAACACAAAAACAAAGCACUAUAUCAUAAAAACAAUUGAUUCAAUGCAACAUUAGUGUGAAAAGCUUUAUAAAAAAUAAAAAAAUUACAUUCUGCAUUCAUGCAA
rnacentral:lncRNA from 1 species